UAGUAGAUGGUGUUUGGGAAACACCAAUAGUAGAUGGUGUUUGGAAAACACCAAUAGUUUGUCUGCCCCACACCAUUAUCCGUACAAUGCACAAACAUGAGAAUAAAUGUUAAUUUGAAAAAAAAAAAUCUCUUUUCCACUGAAAAUUAGGUAGAGUCUCCCAUCAAAUUUGAAUUUCCUCAAAUUUCAACAACACAACCUGCAAUAAAAACAUUGCAUGUUGGCCUGCACAACUAUUAUAUGCAUCUCCUUUAUGACAAAUUCACUGUUCAUAAAAAAUAAAAUAAUAACAUAAUUAAGAAUACUAUAAUAUACAAAUUAGCAAAUCAAAGUGCAUUGCUAAAAUAAUAUGAUAAAAUAUUAACUACAUCAACAAUUUAUCUAUAUAGUACAAUAUAAUUUAUUCACCAUCACUAUCAUCGUCAUAAACAUAAAUUUCAUCUUCAUCUUCUUCUUCACUUUCUGAUGAUGAAAGUAAAACUUCUUCAUCUGGUUGUUCCUCUUCUUCAACAGAUGCAAGCUCUAGUGGUUCAUCGCUUGGAUCGUCUAGGGGUCUAAUCUGUUUAUCUGCAACUUCUGUAUCAAUUUGUAAGAUUUGUACUGCCUCAUUUUGGAAUGCUUGGUCAGGUAUUGGCUCUGUUACAUUUAUCUGAGGCAUGACGAUAAUGGCCCUAGGCUUCACUUUACACACUGCAUACCAAUCAGCCUUGUCUCAUCAAAGCUCGAAUAAGGAAUAUAAACCACUUAUUUAGCUUACGAAGCAAGUAUGAAUGGUUCAUAUUUAUUCAAUCUUUUUUUGUGAUUGAUGUCCACUAAGUUAUAGUGUUUGUGGACUUUAAUGCCGACAUUUGGAGUUAUAUCAAACCAUUCACACUUAAAGAGAACAACUCUCUUUAUUGGUAAUGCAGGGUGCUCUAAUUGAAUUACCUCUUUUAACAGACCGUAGUAAUCAUCAGUUGUGUCACCAUAUGUUGAUCCCCUAAUGCAAACUCUACUAUUCAUCGUGAAUCGAUUAACUCCAUGAUUGAUUGUGUGAAAUAUAUAUCCAUUUAUGAAAUACACAGGAUAUGAUAUCACCCUUUUCAAUGGCCCCUGUGCUAAAUCCUUAAUGAAUUUAUUGUCAACGUUUGCACUCCUUGCCUGAUAAGUUAGAGAAUUUAAAUCCUUAUUAUCAUAAAUAAUGUUAAUAAUUACAUUUAGAAAAUGGAAUGGUUUAUAUAAAUGUAGACUUACAUAAGAUUUGAACCAAUAUGAAAAUCUUUGUUCUACUAAUUCAUUAACUUUUGCAUCACUGAUAUUACGUGAUGUCUAUUGUAGCUCAGCUUGGAACAUCCUACACAUAAACAAAUUAGGCGAUUAUCAGUAGAAAAGGAAAAUUCAUAAAUGACUUUCGAGAGAUUUAACUUAUAUUUAGGGUUUUUAUAAACUUACUUCAAAUAUAUGUCAAUUUCAGGGCAAUUUAGAAGGAUGUAUAUAUGGGCAGCCUUAUAUCCAUCAUCUCCUAACCAUCUUGUUUUAGCUUUGCCAUAUGGUCGAUCAGGAUACUUGAAUAUUGAUAAAUUUCCUUCGAUUUCAUCAUUGUCCCCACCAUCAUCAUUACGGGGAACUUGUCGAUCCCGCGUUAUGACAUGAGGCUCAAAAUAAUGUGCACAAAAAUUAAAUGCUUCUUCAACUAAGUACGCAUUAC
rnacentral:misc_RNA from 1 species